AAAUUUGAAAUCUGGCUCUCGGGCCCGAGUUGUAAUUUGUAGAGGAUGCUUUUGGUGAGGUGCCUUCCGAGUUCCCUGGAACGGGACGCCAUAGAGGGUGAGAGCCCCGUCUGGUUGGACACCGAUCCUCUGUAAAGCUCCUUCGACGAGUCGAGUAGUUUGGGAAUGCUGCUCUAAAUGGGAGGUAUAUGUCUUCUAAAGCUAAAUACCGGCCAGAGACCGAUAGCGCACAAGUAGAGUGAUCGAAAGAUGAAAAGAACUUUGAAAAGAGAGUUAAACAGUACGUGAAAUUGUUGAAAGGGAAGCGCUUGUGACCAGACUUGGGCUUGGUUGAUCAUCCGGGGUUCUCCCCGGUGCACUCUUCCGGCCCAGGCCAGCAUCAGUUCGCCCUGGGGGACAAAGGCUUCGGGAAUGUGGCUCUCUCCGGGGAGUGUUAUAGCCCGUUGCGUAAUACCCUGUGGCGGACUGAGGUUCGCGCAUUCGCAAGGAUGCUGGCGUAAUGGUCAUCAGUGACCCGUCUUGAAACACGGACCAAGGAGUCGUCUUCGUAUGCGAGUGUUCGGGUGUCAAACCCCUACGCGAAAUGAAAGUGAACGCAGGUGAGAGCUUCGGCGCAUCAUCGACCGAUCCUGAUGUUAUCGGAUGGAUUUGAGUAAGAGCAUACGGGGCCGGACCCGAAAGAAGGUGAACUAUGCCUGUGUAGGGUGAAGCCAGAGGAAACUCUGGUGGAGGCUCGCAGCGGUUCUGA
rnacentral:rRNA from 1 species